rnacentral:miRNA from 1 species
UGUCAAAAGUUGGAUAUU